GACAGAGGGUGCAAACGUUGUUCGGAAUUACUGGGCGUAAAGGGUGCGUAGGCGGGUCUUUAAGUCAGGGGUGAAAUCCUGGAGCUCAACUCCAGAACUGCCUUUGAUACUGAGGAUCUUGAGUACGGGAGAGGUGAGUGGAACUGCGAGUGUAGAGGUGAAAUUCGUAGAUAUUCGCAAGAACACCAGUGGCGAAGGCGGCUCACUGGCCCGUUACUGACGCUGAGGCACGAAAGCGUGGGGAGCAAACAGG
rnacentral:rRNA from 1 species